CACGUAGGAGGCGAGCGUUGUCCGGAAUCAUUGGGCGUAAAGAGCGCGCAGGCGGCCCGGCAAGUCGGGUGUGAAAUCCCGGGGCUCAACCCCGGGACUGCAUUCGAUACUGUCGGGCUAGAGGUAGGUAGGGGAGAUCGGAAUUCCUGGUGUAGCGGUGAAAUGACGCAGAUAUCAGGAGGAACACCGGUGGCGAAGGCGGAUCUCUGGGCCUUACCUGACGCUCAGGCGCGAAAGCUAGGGGAGCGAACAGG
rnacentral:rRNA from 1 species